rnacentral:lncRNA from 1 species
AUGGACCCCCCCGGCAAGUCCCGGCUGCAGAGGGGUCGUGGAUGGCGAGUGCUCGGGCUCUGCGGGCAGCCCCGACCCUGCUGCCUGCGGGUGUCCCCCUGCACCGGGGACGGUCACCCCCUCCCCAGGGAGCCGAGGCGCCCUCCGCCACGCAAGGUGCCUGUGGGACGGGGUGGGAAACCCAACUUCUGGGCACCUCGGCAUCGCAUUUGGAACUCGCACGGAGGCAAGUGCUGGCCACCACGGCCGGGUGCACCAGAGGCGUGCGCCCACCGCCCCGACACGGGCAAUACCGCGGGCGAAGGGACGGCAGGACGGGAGCCGGGGUGCUCCCCCAGGCCCCUGUGCCAGAGCUCCCCUUGCACCCACCUCCCUCCUGCUUGCUGGGCCUCCUGGUAUUUUAUAAAUCACUCAGCAGCUGCUGCAGUGGGUUUGCCGGGGAUGGAUGAGCCGGGGGAAGCCGGCUGGAGGGGCAGCGCUGGAUGGGAAAACUUGGAAAGGCCCCUGCGGGGCAGCGGCUGCAGAGCUCGGCCAGGGACGCGGCGCUGGUGGAGCCGGGGAGAAAAAAAAAAAGACUCUUCCUUUUAUAGCCAAGCUGGGGUUGUUGGGUGCCUGCGGGCGCGUGGGUGCCACUACGGCCGGCCCCGGCAGCCCCCCCUGCAAAACCGCCUGGUGCCCACAAACCACCCUGCCCGGGCAGGAGCUGCUCCUGGUAGAGAACACGGGGGGCUGCCCCGGCCGGGGACUCACAGCCGCUCUGUGGAUAUGGAGAAUUCAUGGAAGAGGGGCUCCUCCAGACCACAGCUCCCUGGGACCGGGAUUAGAGCAGAUUGAUCGCAGCUCUCGCUCCUGCCCAGCCCACCAUGGUUCCCGUGGCAUGCUUCGCACUAUUCGUCAUAGGAAUUGCAAUUGUAGGUGAGCGCCAGGCACGGGGCAAGCAGCACCUGGCUUUGCUGGUUGUGCUGCUGAGAAGAAAGGGGCAGCUCUGGCUGCUGCCUGGAAUUCU